AAAUGAAUAGACGGGGCCCCGCACAAGCAGCGGAGCGUGUGGUUUAAUUCGAUGUUACACGAAGAACCUUACCUGGGAUUGACAUGGAGGUGGUAGGGAAGCGAAAGCCGACCGACUCUUCGGAGAGCCUUCACAGGUGCUGCAUGGCUGUCGUCAGCUCGUGCCGUGAGGUGUCGGGUUAAGUCCCGUAACGAGCGCAACCCUUGCCCUUAGUUACAAGUGUCUAGGGGGACUGCCGGCGGGAAGCCGGAGGAAGGUGGGGAUGACGUCAAGUCAGCAUGGCCCUUAUAUCCAGGGCUACACACACGCUACAAUGGACGGUACAAAGGGCAGCGAAGCCGUGAGGUGGAGCGAAUCCCAGCAAAGCCGUCCUAAGUACGGAUAGCAGGCUGCAACUCGCCUGCUUGAAGCUGGAGUUGCUAGUAACCGCGCGUCAGCAUAGUGCGGUGAAUACGUUCCCGGGGCUUGUACACACCGCCCGU
rnacentral:rRNA from 1 species